rnacentral:rRNA from 1 species
GUGUCAGCAGCCGCGGUAAUACGGAGGGUGCAAGCGUUGUCCGGAAUCAUUGGGUGUAAAGGGUGCGUAGGCGGGUUUUUAAGUCUGGGGUGAAAGGCUGCGGCUCAACCGUAGGAUUGCCCUGGAUACUGGAGAUCUUGAGAAUAACAGAGGCCGGUAGAAUUCGUGGUGUAGCGGUGAAAUGCAUAGAUAUCACGAAGAAUACCAGUGGCGUAGGCGGCCGGCUGGGUUAUUACUGACGCUGAGGCACGAGAGCGUGGGGAGCAAACAGGAUUAGAUACCCUGGUAGUCCACGCCGUAAACGAUGUAUACUAGGUGUUGGUCCUGCUUCGGUGGGGUCAGUGCUGCAGCUAACGCAUUAAGUAUACCACCUGGGGAGUACGUUCGCAAGAAUGAA